rnacentral:rRNA from 1 species
GAUGAACCGAGCGAACGUUGUUCGGAAUCACUGGGCUUAAAGGGCGCGUAGGCGGGCUGCCGCGUCCGGGGUGAAAUCCCACGGCUCAACCGUGGAACGGCCCCGGGUACGGGCGGCCUCGAGGGGGGUAGGGGCGUGCGGAACUGUGGGUGGAGCGGUGAAAUGCGUUGAUAUCCACAGGAACUCCGGUGGCGAAGGCGGCACGCUGGACCCCCACUGACGCUGAGGCGCGAAAGCCAGGGGAGCGAACGGG